AGGACGAACGCUGGCGGCGUGCUUAACACAUGCAAGUCGAGCGGAAAGGCCCUUCGGGGUACUCGAGCGGCGAACGGGUGAGUAACACGUGAGUAACCUGCCCCUAGCUCUGGGAUAGCUCCGGGAAACCGGGGAUUAAUACCAGAUACGACCACUUUAGACAUCUGUCAGGGUGGAAAGGUUUACCGACUGAGGAUGGACUCGCGGCCUAUCAGCUAGUUGGUGGGGUAACGGCCUACCAAGGCGACGACGGGUA
rnacentral:rRNA from 1 species